ACCUGUUCAAGGAAGCUUUCUGAAACUCUUGCCUCCCCAACUAGAAGUCCCUGAGAAACUGAUGAGCGCCAAUGAGAAGCAUUCAUAAUUUUAGCCCGUUUUCGGAGUUACUUCGGAAGACCGACCAAUCAUACUUUUUGGUGUGACUACUACCCUUUUGUUUAACUGCCUACUUUGGAUAUUUGGGUGAAUUUUGGAGUGGAAGGUUUUAGAGGGCAAAGCCCUAAUUUGUUGGGAGUGAAUUAAAG
rnacentral:misc_RNA from 1 species